rnacentral:rRNA from 1 species
GACGAACGCUGGCGGCGUGCUUAACACAUGCAAGUCGAACGGUAAGGCCCCAGCUUGCUGGGGUACACGAGUGGCGAACGGGUGAGUAACACGUGGGUGACCUGCCCCGCACUUCGGGAUAAGCCUGGGAAACUGGGUCUAAUACCGGAUAGGACCGCACCGUGAGGGUGUGGUGGAAAGUUUUUCGGUGUGGGAUGGGCCCGCGGCCUAUCAGCUUGUUGGUGGGGUAAUGGCCUACCAAGGCGGCGACGGGUAGCCGGCCUGAGAGGGUGGACGGCCACAUUGGGACUGAGACACGGCCCAGACUCCUACGGGAGGCAGCAGUGGGGAAUAUUGCACAAUGGGCGGAAGCCUGAUGCAGCGACGCCGCGUGGGGGAUGACGGCCUUCGGGUUGUAAACUCCUUUCACCAUCGACGAAGGUUUUCUGACGGUAGAUGGAGAAGAAGCACCGGCGAACUACGU